rnacentral:rRNA from 1 species
ACGCUGGCGGCAGGCUUAACACAUGCAAGUCGAACGGUAACAGGAAUUAGCUUGCUAAUUUGCUGACGAGUGGCGGACGGGUGAGUAAUGCUUGGGAAUCUGGCUUAUGGAGGGGGAUAACUACGGGAAACUGUAGCUAAUACCGCGUAAAAUCUUCGGAUUAAAGGGUGGGACUUUCGAGCCACCUGCCAUAAGAUGAGCCCAAGUGGGAUUAGGUAGUUGGUUAGGUAAAGGCUGACCAAGCCGACGAUCUCUAGCUGGUCUGAGAGGAUGACCAGCCACACUGGAACUGAGACACGGUCCAGACUCCUACGGGAGGCAGCAGUGGGGAAUAUUGCACAAUGGGGGGAACCCUGAUGCAGCCAUGCCGCGUGAAUGAAGAAGGCCUUCGGGUUGUAAAGUUCUUUCGGUGACGAGGAAGGUUGAUAGGUUAAUAGCCUAUCAAAUUGACGUUAAUCACAGAAGAAGCACCGGCUAACUCCGUGCCAGCAGCCGCGGUAAUACGGGGGGUGCGAGCGUUAAUCGGAAUAACUGGGCGUAAAGGGCACGCAGGCGGUGACUUAAGUGAGAUGUGAAAGCCCCGAGCUUAACUUGGGAAUUGCAUUUCAUACUGGGUCGCUAGAGUACUUUAGGGAGGGGUAGAAUUCCACGUGUAGCGGUGAAAUGCGUAGAGAUGUGGAGGAAUACCGAAGGCGAAGGCAGCCCCUUGGGAAUGUACUGACGCUCAUGUGCGAAAGCGUGGGGAGCAAACAGGAUUAGAUACCCUGGUAGUCCACGCUGUAAACGAUGUCGAUUUGGGGAUUGGGCUUUGAGCUUGGUGCCCGUAGCUAACGUGAUAAAUCGACCGCCUGGGGAGUACGGCCGCAAGGUUAAAACUCAAAUGAAUUGACGGGGGCCCGCACAAGC